UCUUUGGAUUCACAAAUUCCAUGACUCUGAAAUCCUUUGCUCUAUCAAACUUCUCGCUGUCAAUAUCUAUACCAAUGAUCCUUGAAGGUCCUGCUGCUUUUGCACCCUUUGCAACAACAAGACCAACAAUCUCCAUUUGGGCAUCAUCAAAACUCGCAGAAACUGUUCAGAAAUAACAUCCCUUUCAUCCAUAUACUAUCAAUCUGGAGGUUACCAUCUUCACCAGUGCCUCCCUCUCCAUGUGCAAGAGGUCUCCACAUAUCUCCCGCAAAAGGAAAUGUUUUUGCAUUGGAGUAGAAAGGUGGUUGGCCCCCGUCGCUUUUCUUUGUGCCAUCAUCGCGGUUCAAUCGCGUCUGGCCCGGUCUGCCUGGGGCAUUGCAUGUGGAUCCUCUCUAUUCAACACCAAAGCGUUGGAAAACUGUCGGAGGGUGUCCUCAAACUGAUGGAAUUUGUCAGCAAAACCCAUCUUUAUUAUGCUCAAACUGUUCUAUACCCCUCCCAAACUGAUUUUCAAGUUUUCUAUUCUUUCUUUUUUGGUAGUAAUAACUCUGAUACUAAUUGAUAGGUCCAAAUCAGAAGCCAAUAGAAAUUUGUAAAGAAAUUCUCUUAGGGUGAGAAUGAACCACAAGUUUUUUAUUCAAAAAUUGCCUUCCCCAUUUCUGUUCAUCGACAUUUUUAAAUACACAAAAAAUAUAACUGAUGGUUCCUACUUUUCAGUAACUAAGAUAAUGGAAAACGAACAUGAACUUAAACAUGGGUUAAUGGCUUCAAUUGCUUGCUUACCGAGUCUAUCGCAAUGGCUGGUUCUACUGCUGCAGAUACUUUGGGUUCCUCUUGGCUUUCAGUGGGGACAUCGUAGUGUAACAAUGCAUGAGCUGCAAGUAGUACGGUGGUUAUUCAGGACACGAUUUGAGGGUCCAGUUCUGUCUAAUCAGUUUAUUAUGAGUGAUUCCAUAUUCAAAUAGUCUUAUGAAUGUUUGAAAUUGUUUAUCGAUAUGUCAAUACAUUUGUUUAUGGUAUUACAAAGAUCUAAAUUCUAAAUUAACCUUUUAAAUGAAAUAUUUUUUUUAUUGUUAAUGUAAAUAAUUAGAUGAUUGCAUGAUUUUUGGGCUGGUCUUGAGACAGAUCACUUUUAAGGUGGGCUGGUUGAUGGAUUUUAGUUUUGAUAGAGUGAAAACAGAAACAAAAUUCACCUUAAUCAAUGAUGUAUCUGAGUGAUGAAAAACAGUUCACAUGCUUAAUCUUGCAGCUUAUUGGAUCAAGUGUUUAGCUGGCUUGCUGGGUAACAAAUUCUAGUUUCUGAGCUUCAAACUAAAUAUAUAAAGCUUCUUCCUAGAUCACUCAGUUAAGGAGAGCCUCCAAAGCGGUUUGAGGAGGUUAAACAUUACCUCAGUGCCAACAUUCCAUUUCUAUCAAGGUGGGAAAAAGGCAACUGAAGUUAUUGGUGCUGAUGCUGCACGUUUGAGGGAUACAAUGGAGCAGCUCUACAAGUAAUUCUUAACUGGUUUACUUUGCACGUGACUAUUUCAUCUGUUUCCUGAGUAUCACAGCAAAUUGGUUGGGGUAUCCAUUUACAAAUUAGUAUUGGGGGUUUCAUAUGGUUGACGAGGUGUCUUGUUAAAUACCUCUUUCUAUAUUUGAUUCCAACUUUUAUAUUCUGUUAGGAACUAAAUAGUAUACAAUCACUUUGUUUUGAGACAAAUCUUUUUUCUUUCAAGGAAAAAAUAAAAUUGUUUUGCUG